rnacentral:sRNA from 1 species
UUAACCGCAACCGGAUCUUAAAAGCCUAAGUAGUGUUUUUUUGUUAGUAGAUACAAAGACAAAGACACAGACGGACUUCAGCUACACCAUCAAAGCUUUGAGAAGCAAGAAGAAGCUUGGUUAGUGUUUUGGAGUCAAAU